rnacentral:rRNA from 1 species
CUGCUGCCUUCCGUAGGAGUUUGGUCCGUGUCUCAGUACCAAUGUGGGGGGUUAACCUCUCAGUCCCCCUAUGUAUCGUCGCCUUGGUGAGCCGUUACCUCACCAACCAGCUAAUACAACGCAUGCCCAUCAUCAACCACCGGAGUUUUCAACCCCAUGCGAUGCCGCAUGAGAUAUUAUGGGGUAUUAGUACCAAUUUCUCAGUGUUAUCCCCCUGUUGAUGGUAGGUUGCAUACGCGUUACGCACCCGUGCCG